rnacentral:rRNA from 1 species
GAUGAACGCUGGCGGCGUGCCUAAUACAUGCAAGUCGAGCGAACGGACGAGAAGCUUGCUUCUCUGAUGUUAGCGGCGGACGGGUGAGUAACACGUGGAUAACCUACCUAUAAGACUGGGAUAACUUCGGGAAACCGGAGCUAAUACCGGAUAAUAUUUUGAACCGCAUGGUUCAAAAGUGAAAGACGGUCUUGCUGUCACUUAUAGAUGGAUCCGCGCUGCAUUAGCUAGUUGGUAAGGUAACGGCUUACCAAGGCAACGAUGCAUAGCCGACCUGAGAGGGUGAUCGGCCACACUGGAACUGAGACACGGUCCAGACGCCUACGGGAGGAAGCAGUAGGGAAUCUUCCGCAAUGGGCGAAAGCCUGACGGAGCAACGCGGCGUGAGGGAUGAAGGUCUUCGGAUCGUAAAACUCUGUUAUUAGGGAAGAACAUAUGUGUAAGUAACUGUGCACAUCUUGACGGUACCUAAUCAGAAAGCCACGGCUAACUACGUG